CAUUAGGUGACUGAAAGCAAGUGUAUGUCUUUUAAACCUAUAAUGGUAGAUAGCAACUACCCCUAAUGA
rnacentral:tRNA from 1 species